GUAGUCUGCAACUCGACUACAUGAAGCUGGAAUCGCUAGUAAUCGCGAAUCAGAAUGUCGCGGUGAAUACGUUCCCGGGUCUUGUACACACCGCCCGUCACACCAUGGGAGUCAGUAACGCCCGAAGCCGGUGACCUAACCGAAGGGGAGGAGCCGUCGAAGGUGGGACCGAUAACUGGGGUGAAGUCGUAACAAGGUAAC
rnacentral:rRNA from 1 species